rnacentral:rRNA from 1 species
GUUAGAGUUAUGACUAGAGGUGGUAAAAUGACUCAGGAACCUUUGUAUCCUGACGGCCAUCCUAAGAGAAUUGAGCAAGAUUCUCAGAGAAAUAAUAUUGAUAUACCUAGUCCUUCUAAAAGGAAGAGAAAGAAAAAUGAUAGGACUUUGCAUGCUUCUAGUGAACCUGUUAUUGACACACCUGAGAAUCCCAAUGAUAUUUCUAUUUCUGAUGCUGAAACACAAUCUGGUAAUGAGCAUGAACCUAGUGAUAAUGUUAAUAAUGAUGUACAUGUUGAUGCUCAACCUAGUAAUGACAAUGAAGUAGAGAUUGAACCUACUGUUGAUCUUGAU